AUUGAACGCUGGCGGCAUGCCUUACACAUGCAAGUCGAACGGUAACAGGUCUUCGGAUGCUGACGAGUGGCGAACGGGUGAGUAGUACAUCGGAACGUGCCCGAUCGUGGGGGAUAACGAGGCGAAAGCUUUGCUAAUACCGCAUACGAUCUACGGAUGAAAGCGGGGGAUCUUCGGACCUCGCGCGGACGGAGCGGCCGAUGGCAGAUUAGGUAGUUGGUGGGAUAAAAGCUUACCAAGCCGACGAUCUGUAGCUGGUCUGAGAGGAUGAUCAGCCACACUGGGACUGAGACACGGCCCAGACUCCUACGGGAGGCAGCAGUGGGGAAUUUUGGACAAUGGGCGAAAGCCUGAUCCAGCCAUGCCGCGUGCAGGAUGAAGGCCUUCGGGUUGUAAACUGCUUUUGUACGGAACGAAAAGCCUCUUUCUAAUAAAGAGGGGUCAUGACGGUACCGUAAGAAUAAGCACCGGCUAACUACGUG
rnacentral:rRNA from 1 species